ACGGGUGAGUAACGCGUAUGCAACUUACCUAUCAGAGGGGGAUAACCCGGCGAAAGUCGGGCUAAUACCGCAUGAAGCAGGGGCCCCGCAUGGGGAUAUUUGCUAAAGAUUCAUCGCUGAUAGAUAGGCAUGCGUUCCAUUAGGCAGUUGGCGGGGUGACGGCCCACCAAACCGACGAUGGAUAGGGGUUCUGAGAGGAAGGUCCCCCACAUUGGUACUGAGACACGGACCAA
rnacentral:rRNA from 1 species